rnacentral:ncRNA from 1 species
GAUAAAUUUUUUAUAUUUUUAAUAAUUUAUUAUAAAUUUAUUUUACAUGUAAAUUUUAGUAUGAAAUUUUAAUUAUUUUAAUAAUAAUUAAUUUAAUUAUACAGUAAUUAAAAUUAAAAAUUUAAGAAAUUAAGAUUUAGUAAUAUAUAAAUUAAUAACUAAUUUUGUGCCAGCAGUUGCGGUUAAACAAAAGUUAAAUUAAAUUAUUUCAGUAUAUAAUAAAUAAUAAAUAAUUAAAUUAAAUAUUAAAUUAUUAAGUGAAAUUUUAAUUUAAUUAAAAAUUAUAUUAAAAUUAUGAUUUAGUAAAUUUUAUUUUAAACUAGGAUUAGAUACCCUAUUAUUAAAAAUUUAAUUAAAAAUACUAAAAUAGUAAAUAAAAUAUUAUUGAAACUUAAAUAAUAUGGCGGUAUUUUAGUUCAUUUAGAGGAAUCUGUCUAAUAAUUGAUAAUCCACGAGUAAAUUUACUUAAUUUAUAAUUUUGUAUAUCAUUGUUAAAAAAAUAUUUUAAAAUAAAAAUAAUAUUUUAAAAUUUAAAAUAAAAUUUAAUUCAGAUCAAGAUGCAGAUUAUAAUUAAGUUUAAGAUGGAUUACAAUAAAUUUAUUUAAACGGAAAAAAUUUUGUAAUAUAUAAUUGAAGGUGGAUUUAAAUGUAAUUUUAAUUAAUUUAUUAAAAUGAUUAAAAAUUGAAAUAUGUACAUAUUGCCCGUCACUUUCAUUUAAAAAUUGAAAUAAGUCGUAACAAAGUAGAGGUACUGGAAAGUGUUUCUAGAAUGAA